rnacentral:rRNA from 1 species
UACGGAGGGUGCAAGCGUUAUCCGGACUCACUGGGUUUAAAGGGUGUGUAGGCGGAUUUUUAAGUCAGUGGUGAAAUCUCCGGGCUCAACCCGGAAACUGCCAUUGAUACUAUUAGUCUUGAAUUCUGUUGAGGUGGGCGGAAUACAUCAUGUAGCGGUGAAAUGCUUAGAUAUGAUGUAGAACACCGAUUGCGAAGGCAGCUCACUAAGCAGACAUUGACGCUGAGGCACGAAAGCGUGGGGAUCAAACAGG